rnacentral:rRNA from 1 species
GGUGAGCGGCGCAAGGGUGAGUAAGGCGACGGUAACCAACCCCACGGUUGGGCAUAGCCGCGGGAAACCGCGGGUAAUUCCCAGCGAUGUUGCGAGGAGGCAUCUCCUUGCAACCAAAGUUCCGGCGCCGUGGGACGGGCCGUCGUGGUAUUAGCUAGUUGGCGGGGUGACGGCCCACCAAGGCUGCGAUGCCUACCGGGCGUGCGAGCGUGGCCCGGCACACUGGGACUGAGACACUGCCCAGACUCCUACGGGAGGCUGCAGUCGAGAAUCUUCGGCAAUGGGCGCAAGCCUGACCGAGCGACGCCGCGUGGAGGACGAAGGCCUUCGGGUUGUAAACUCCUGUCGAGGGGGAGGAAGGGGCAACCUUGACCGAUCCCUGGAGGAAGCACGGGCUAAGUUCGUGCCAGCAGCCGCGGUAAGACGAACCGUGCGAACGUUAUUCGGAAUCACUGGGCUUAAAGCGCGUGUAGGCGGGACGGCACGUCGGUUGCUGAAAUCCCCCGGCUCAACCGGGGAACGGGCAGCGAUACGACCGUCCUGGAGGGGGGUAGGGGGGAGCUGGAACUUCCGGUGGAGCGGUGAAAUGCGUUGAGAUCGGAAGGAACGCCCGUGGCGAAAGCGAGCUCCUGGACCCUUACUGACGCUGAGACGCGAAAGCCAGGGGAGCGAACGGGAUUAGAUACCCCGGUAGUCCUGGCCGUAAACGAUGGGCACUGGGUAGGGGGCUCGCCGAUGGGCUCCCUGCCGCAGGGGAACCGUGAAGUGCCCCGCCUGGGGAGUAUGGUCGCAAGGCUGAAACUC